rnacentral:rRNA from 1 species
CCUACGGGAGGCUGCAGUCGAGAAUAUUCCGCAAUGGGCGAAAGCCUGACGGAGCGACAUCGCGUGAUGGAUGAAGUGGUUCGCCACGUAAACAUCUUUUAUGAGGGAAGAAAUUAUUGACGGUACCUCAUGAAUAAGGGGCUCCUAACUCUGUGCCAGCAGGAGCGGUAAUACAGAGGCCCCAAGCAUUAUCCGGAAUCAUUGGGCGUAAAGCGUGUCAAGGCGGUUAUGUUAGUCGUUCGUAAAAUCUACGAGCUCAACUUGUAGGUGGCGAGCGAAACGGCAUGACUAGAGGUCAGGAGAGGUACAUGGAACUCAUGGUGUAGGGGUGAAAUCCGUUGAUAUCAUGGGGAACACCAAAGGCGAAGGCAGUGUACUGGCCUGAAUCUGACGCUCACACACGAAAGCCAGGGUAGCGAACGGGAUUAGAUACCCUAGUAGUC